ACUCACUCUCUCUGAAACGCCACCGUUUCCACUCACAAAGCUUCAGAGUUCGUCAAUGGCCGAGGAAGCUCCCAGCAAACGCCCACUGAAAAUCAUAGCCGGCGCCGACUCCUUCGGCUGCUCUCUUAAGGACGCCUUGGUGUCCCACCUCCGCUCCCUCAACAUCGACGUCGAAGACCUUGGCACCUCCUCCUACUACUCCGUCGCCGCUGACGUCGGCAGCCGCGUCUCCUCCUCCACCUCCGAUUCCGAGGAGAUCCGCGGCCUCGUCGCCUGUGGUACCGGCGUCGGAGUCUCAAUCUUCGCCAACAAGUUCCCCGGCGUAUUCGCCGCCACGUGCCUCACUCCCUCCGACGCCCAGAACGCCCGAUCCAUCAACAACUCCAACG
rnacentral:lncRNA from 1 species